rnacentral:rRNA from 1 species
UACGUAGGGGGCAAGCGUUGUCCGGAAUCAUUGGGCGUAAAGAGCGUGUAGGCGGCCCGAUAAGUCCGCCGUGAAAGUCCAGGGCUCAACCCUGGAAUGCCGGUGGAAACUGUCGGGCUGGAGUCCGGAAGAGGCGAGUGGAAUCCUGGUGUAGCGGUGAAAUGCGCAGAUAUCAGGAGGAACACCAAUGGCGAAGGCAGCACUCUGGGACGUGACUGACGCUGAGACGCGAAAGCGUGGGGAGCAAACAGG